rnacentral:lncRNA from 1 species
ACAGAUGUAAUUAGCGUGUCACUUACUUAAGCUGUGCGUUUUGAUGCAUGGAAACGAAAUGUUUUGAUUGGCUCUCAGCCAAUCAAACAGUGUACUGGCCAAUCAUUCAAAAUUCUGAGUUUGGAAAAGCCCUAGGGUUUCUAACAGCAAAGGCAUCAUGUUCAAUGUCCAUCAUCAUCAUAAAACAAAACAACCAACAACAUGGCACUCAUCAUUUUGAUCACAACAGCAACAGACUAAAACAAAUCAUGAAAAAA